rnacentral:sRNA from 1 species
GCCAGGCAUGGUGGUGCACGCCUGUAAUCCCAGAUACUUGGGAGACAGAGACAGGACAAUCACGAGUUUGAGGCCAGCCUGGGAAAUUUAGUGAGAACCUGUGUCAA